GGGGAUAACUACUGGAAACGGUAGCUAAUACCGCAUAACGUCGCAAGACCAAAGAGGGGGACCUUCGGGCCUCUUGCCAUCGGAUGUGCCCAGAUGGGAUUAGCUAGUAGGUGGGGUAACGGCUCACCUAGGCGACGAUCCCUAGCUGGUCUGAGAGGAUGACCAGCCACACUGGAACUGAGACACGGUCCAGACUCCUACGGGAGGCAGCAGUGGGGAAUAUUGCACAAUGGGCGCAAGCCUGAUGCAGCCAUGCCGCGUGUAUGAAGAAGGCCUUCGGGUUGUAAAGUACUUUCAGCGGGGAGGAAGGCGAUAAGGUUAAUAACCUUGUCGAUUGACGUUACCCGCAGAAGAAGCACCGGCUAACUCCGUGCCAGCAGCCGCGGUAAUACGGAGGGUGCAAGCGUUAAUCGGAAUUACUGGGCGUAAAGCGCACGCAGGCGGUCUGUCAAGUCGGAUGUGAAAUCCCCGGGCUCAACCUGGGAACUGCAUUCGAAACUGGCAGGCUAGAGUCUUGUAGAGGGGGGUAGAAUUCCAGGUGUAGCGGUGAAAUGCGUAGAGAUCUGGAGGAAUACCGGUGGCGAAGGCGGCCCCCUGGACAAAGACUGACGCUCAGGUGC
rnacentral:rRNA from 1 species